GGAUGUCCCUCGGGUUGUGGCAGGAGGACACAUAUCUGUCUGUCCCUCAGGUUGUGGCAGGAGGACACAUAUCUGUCUGUCCCUCAGGUUGUGGCAGGAGGACACAUAUCUGUCUGUCCCUCUGGUUGUGGCAGGAGGACACAUAUCUGUCUGUCCCUCUGGUUGUGGCAGGAGGACACAUAUCUGUCUGUCCCUCUGGUUGUGGCAGGAGGACACAUAUCUGUCUGUCCCUCUGGUUGUGGCAGGAGGACACAUAUCUGUCUGUCCCUCUGGUUGUGGCAGGAGGACACAUAUCUGUCUGUCUCUCAGGUUGUGGCAGGAGGACACAUAUCUGUCUGUCCCUCGGGUUGUGGCAGGAGGACACAUAUCUGUCUGUCUCUCAGGUUGUGGCAGGAGGACACA